GAGGUACAACAGUCAUUACAUUCAACUUAAAGAGCCCCUCAUUUAGGUAGCCAUUUCCUACAAACAUUUCAUUCUUUGAGAGUAUAAAUUUGUCUGAGACAAAUACUAGCUUAAACCCGUUCUUACUUAGUAGAGAACCAGAUACCAAGUUUUUCCUAAUAUCGGGCACAUGAAGAACGUCAUUCAAAGUGAGCUCUUUUCCACUUGUCAUUUUCAGCACUAUCUUUCCAUGUAGAAAUGUUCAUUAUGAUCCAUCGUUUUGUAGGUAGAGAACAUCCCACAGUUUGAGCAUAUGUGACAAGUAGCUCCAGUAUCCACCCACCACUCCUUAGUAUUUCCAGCUAAGUUGCAUUCAGAGACGACCGCAGAAAGAUUCAUGUCUUGUACCUUAUCAGUGAGGUUCUCAUGUUUUGUUACAUUGGCCUGGUGAGUUUUUUCCUACACAUUCUUUGGCUUUCGACAAUCCUUGGAUCAAUGUCCUACCUUGCCACAAUUGUAACAAUUGCCUUUAAACUUUUUAGCAGUUUUUGAAGAACCAGUUUGCCCUUCACCAUUGUGCUUCCUCUUUUUGCUAGUCUUGAAGACUCCUUCUACAAUGUUGGCUUUUGAUUCCAUCGAAUGAGAUGCACCAUUUCUUUUUUCAGUUUUGCGAUUGUCUUCUUCUAUUCUCAAUCGAACAAUGAUAUCUUCAAGUUUUAUUUCCUUCCGCUUGUACUUUAGGUAAUUCUUGAAAUUCUUCCAUGAAGACGGUAAUUUCUCAAUCAGUGCAGCGACUUGAAAUGAUUCACUUAUUUUCAUUCCUUUGGCAUAGAUGUCGCUAAGUAUGAUUUGAAGUUCUUGAACUUAGGAUAUGACAGUCUUGCUGUAAACCAUUUUAUAGUCCAGAAAUCGACCGAUAAUAAAUUUCUUCAUGCUGGCAUCUUCGGUUUUAUACUUGGAGUCCAAAGAUUCCCAUAGUUCUUUUGCGGACUUCACAUUGCAGUACACAUUAUAUAAUGUGUUGUCCAAUCCAUUGAGUACAUAAUUUCUGCACAGAAAAUCAGAAUACUUCCAUGCAUCAAACGCAGCCAAUUUUUCAGCAUCACUGUCUUGUUUGGUAUAUGAAUGCGCAUCUUCUUUGAGAAAUUUAGCCAGAUUUAAUAUUGUUAGAUAAAAAAAUAUUUUUUGUUGUCAAUGCUUGAAAUUUGACCCAUUAAAUUUUUCUGAUUUUUCCCCGAUCGUAUUCGGAAGUGUGGUACCAGAAGUUGACAUUUCUGAAACACAAUCAGAAGAUCAACUGUAAGAAGGAGUAG
rnacentral:lncRNA from 1 species